CCCUUAGAUGUUCUGGGCUGCACGCGCGCUACACUGAUGCGCUCAACGAGUUUUGACCUUGCCCGGCAGGGUUGGGUAAUCUUUUUAAAACGCAUCGUGAUGGGGAUAGAUUAUUGCAAUUAUUAAUCUUCAACGAGGAAUGCCUAGUAGGCGCAAGUCAUCAGCUUGCGUCGAUUACGUCCCUGCCCUUUGUACACACCGCCCGUCGCUCCUACCGAUUGGGUGUGCUGGUGAAAUGUUCGGAUCGGCCGUUUGUCGCGGUUUCCGCGUCAUGUGGCUGAGAAGUUCAUUAAACCCUCCCACCUAGAGGAAGGAGAAGUCGUAACA
rnacentral:rRNA from 1 species